UUAUUUUAAGUUAAUAGUGUACUGGUUAUAACUAAUAUCAAAUCUUUACUAAUACUUGAUUUCUUUUUAUGAUGGUUGACUUUGCGAGAACUAACGGAGCAUUAGUGUCAAGAAUGGGCUGAGAUUCGAAUUCAGUCGGUUUUUCACUCUUUUUUGACAAAAAGGGAUCAAGAUCGGGACCGUCCAUUUGACUUCACACGGAUCACCAUCUGCUUUCUCUCAACCCAUUUGACUUAUGCUACAGACAAAAAGGGAUCAAGAUCGGGACCGUCCAUUUGACUUCACACGGAUCACCAUCUGCUUUCUCUCUCAAUGCUCACACAUCUGACAAAAAGGGAUGCUAAAAGCAGGGAAGUACAAUCUACAGGAAAAAGCAACACUUUACUUUUGUGUGAAAGACAGCUUGCUUGCUGCAGUCUAUAAUAUAUCAACACUCUUCCAUACACUGUUUGAAAGACAGCACUGCUUCCUUCAGUCUCUAUAAAUAAUCCAGAGAUAUCUACACUCUACUCACACUUUACAAACUCUCAACUACACUCAACUGAAAUUAAUAUAUCAACUCUUUGCAUUCGGAUCUUGCGUUGUUUCUCGGCUCUCACAUCAAGGUUUUAAAAUUUUUGUCGGCUUUUCACAUCUCCCUCUUGCAUUGUUGUAAGUUCUUUCAAAUAUGACAUAGUGAACGGAUAAAUUGUUUUUGUGGUUUUUAUUUUACUUUGUUCUGUUAUAUUUUGAUCUUUUCCUUCAUUGUUGGGA